AAAUAGAUUUGUUAGGUGAGGCUCCUAUACAAACAUAGGCUACUGCCCAAAAACGUCGAGAGACACCAAUGGGUAUAACAGGAAUUAUCGAUAUAAGGUUCUUCUUAACGUAGCUAAAGCUUAGGCUUUUACGUUGUAUAGUGCUAAAACUCAACGAUUGGAUCUUUAC
rfam:Enterococcus sp. 6C8_DIV0013 scaffold00003, whole genome shotgun sequence.